UAUAGAGAGUAAACUGAAGAUGGAUGAAAACAACAUACAAUUCAAAUGGAAUCAUGGUACUAAAAUCGUACAAAAAUGAAGUUGAAGGCAAAAUAUAGAAUGAUACACGCCAUUGCGAUUAACCACAGAUGAAUGGUAUCUUGGUAUGAAUGGCAAACAUGGAUGGCGUCGUCCAGCUAGCUUUAUGGUGCUAGCGUUGCUUGAGAGAAUUGAAUCUUGAAGAUCCCAACUAGAACACCAAUGAUGGAGAUGGCUUUACCGUUGUUGGAAACAAACUUCGAUCAACAACCGCCUCCUUUCCUUGCAGUCUUGGAUCUUCGUACAAUCGGCAAACAUGGAUGCUCUAGCCUAGCUAGCUUAUGGUGCUAGUGUUCCUUGAGAGAAUAGAGUGCCUUGAAGAUCCCCACAAAAACACCAACGAGGGAGAGCACAAC
rnacentral:lncRNA from 1 species